UACGAAGGGGGCUAGCGUUGUUCGGAAUUACUGGGCGUAAAGCGCGCGCAGGCGGUCUUCCAAGUCAGUGGUGAAAGCCCGGAGCUCAACUCCGGAACUGCCAUUGAAACUGUGAGACUGGAGUACGAGAGAGGUGAGUGGAAUUCCCAGUGUAGAGGUGAAAUUCGUAGAUAUUGGGAAGAACACCGGUGGCGAAGGCGGCUCACUGGCCCGAUACUGACGCUGAGGCACGAAAGCGUGGGGAGCAAACAGG
rnacentral:rRNA from 1 species